rnacentral:rRNA from 1 species
GACGAACGCUGGCGGCGUGCUUAACACAUGCAAGUCGAGCGGUAAGGCCCUUUCGGGGGUACGACGAGCGGCGAACGGGUGAGUAACACGUGGGUGACCUGCCCUCAGCUCUGGGAUAAGCCUGGGAAACCGGGUCUAAUACUGGAUAUGACUCCAUGACGCAUGUUGUGGGGUGGAAAGCCUUGUGCGGCUGAGGAUGGGCCCGCGCUAUCAGCUUGUUGGUGGGGUGAGGCCUACCAAGGCGACGACGGGUAGCCGGCCUGAGAGGGCGACCGGCCACACUGGGAC